rnacentral:rRNA from 1 species
GAUGAACGCUAGCGGCAGGCUUAAUACAUGCAAGUCAAGGGGUAUAGAGGUGCUUGCACUUCUAGAGACCGGCAAACGGGUGCGGAACACGUACACAACCUUCCUUUUAGUGGGGGAUAGCCCAGGGAAACUUGGAUUAAUACCCCGUAACAUGUUGAUGAGGCAUCUCAUUGAUAUUAUAGUGGCGACACGCUAGAAGACGGGUGUGCGUAUGAUUAGGUAGUUGGCAGGGUAACGGCCUACCAAGCCUACGAUCAUUAACUGGUGCGAGAGCACGACCAGUCACACGGGCACUGAGACACGGGCCCGACUCCUACGGGAGGCAGCAGUAAGGAAUAUUGGUCAAUGGAGGAAACUCUGAACCAGCCAUGCCGCGUGGAGGAUGAAGGCCCUCUGGGUUGUAAACUUCUUUUAUAUGGGACGAAAAAGGGUCUUUCUAGAUCAACUGACGGUACCAUACGAAUAAGCACCGGCUAACUCCGUGCCAGCCGCCGCAGUAAUAC